UAGGUUCGGUUGGUAAGGAGGGGGUGGUAUAUGAAAAGGGUAUAGAGUGUUUUUUAGGAGAGAAUGAGUAAAGGAGAGUUGAUAGUGAAAGAAUUAUGAUUGAUUAAAACCUUGAAAGAUUAGAGAGAAAUAGUUAGAGAAUUAGGAGAAGCUUUUAAUGAGGAUGAUAGUUAUGAGGAAAGACAUGGAAAAGAAAAGAUGAUGGAGAUAUGCAAGUAUAUUUAUGGAGAGAUGAUUGCUAAUCAUGAUGGAAAGUUGUUAGUACGAAGGAACUCAUUCAAGAGAUCAAGUUACUCUUUAUUAACAACGAUCAAUUCAAAGAUGAACCAGUGGCUUAUGGAUCUCAAGGUAGGCGAGGCUUGUCAUCAAAAGAGUUUCAGAGACAGAACAAGAUGUACAUGUGACGAUGAAAGCUUCGAAGAAUUAUUUACGAUAGUUAGUUAGCUUCCGCUAUGUUUAUUCUGUGUUUGUAUUCCAUUUGUAAAUCAACUCACUAUUGAAUAUGUAUCAUUUGUGAGAAGUUCGUGUAUAUGUUUUCCAGAGUGGGGCUAAUUUUUGGGUUAAGUUUUGCAGCAAAUUUCUUAAUUGAAUGUUUAAGUAAAUGAUUUAGAUUCUU